AUUACUUCUUCAGGGAAGUUUGCGCAUUAAGAGUUUUACUUUAGCUGCAUGUGCUAGUGUUUUGUAAUUGCUUAACCAUUUUGGAGUAUCUGUUUUGUCUCACCAUCUUGAUUGCUCUUUAAACCGGUAUUCACCUUGGCAUUGUAGCUUUGAACUUGAUUCUGCGUCCUCUUGUCUCCAUGCAAAUAGUGAAGCUUCAUAACAGUAUUUUCCUACUAUGAUAUAUUUCUCUCUUAUGGCCUUUAAGAAAGUCAUUUAAGCCAAAUUUUUGUCAAAACUCAAAUGUGAUAUACUGUGCAAGGGUAUUUUGUGUGCACACAUUGAGUCUUUAUCAAGCAACAAGCCUGUUCACUGCAGAUGAUAUUGAGACCUUUUUGCAGCCAUCUUGUUUGCUGGACUUAGCUGCCAUCCACACUCCAGAUUUUGAAUUACCACAAAUAGAAUCAGUAACUUUCUAGGCUGCAUAUUAAAUCUAUUUGACGGAGAUGAAAUGCCAUCAGCAAAUUACCAUCCCCUUUAAGUAAUGAUCUUUUGUCAAUAUUUUUCUUAUCUUAUGGGUUGUUAAAUUAUUGGCAAUUCAACAUUUCUUAGCUUUUUGUAUUAUUGCUUUCCUCUUGGUAUUUUUAUGAAUCUCUUGCAGAAGUUUGGAAACUUCCUUGUUUUGCCAACAAAGUCUCUGAGCCAUUCGGCAUCAAAUGGGAGCAACUUUACUGUCGGUACAGGCAAGAGAUGACUGCUGCUUUAAAUCAAGAUGUAAACAAAGGCAUACAAACUGAGUCUGCUGAUGAAGUCGUAAAAGAUACAAGCAGCUAUUUUAUGAGGCUCCAGAGUAGGAAGAGAGCGAAAGGAGAAACACAGACAUGUUUGAAGAGGCUCUUGCUAUUUACCAGGUUUGUUACGAGUAUGCUAAGAGACGAGGAGAUGUUUCAAAAUGUGGGUUUGCUUGGAGAGUAGCAGGUCCAGUUCUCUGCAAAUACUUCCUCUUAAAUCAGGGUGAACAAUCUGUUAACCUCUUCUCCUUCUGUGUUGAAAGAGAUUUUUGGUUAAACCAAGGACAUUUGUACGACUGUAAUAAUACUAGUGCAGUAUAAUAUGGUGUAAGUUAAGUUAAAUGGAUGCUGUACAUAUAUAUUUUAGUAUAUGAUAUAUGUCGCAUAUGCUUGUACAA